rnacentral:lncRNA from 1 species
AGAAGCUCAUUAGCAAUGCUCCCCGCCUCCUGCCCUGGUCCCUGCGGAGUGGGCAGCGAGUGCAGGAGGCUCUAAUGGCUCCAAGCAGCUCUUGAUGGGCCGUGAUGGAGGCGGGAGCAGGAGGGGCUGUGGUUUCUGCCUCUGCCGGAGCCAGAGCUGCCACUGCCCAGGGUCGGCAGGGAAGAUGCUGGGUGGGCUCCUACUCUGGCUGCUCCUCGCCACAGCUCUGUGCCCUGGCCUCCUCGGGACAGUGUCGGUGCAGAAUCUGCACCUCUGUGAGGGCUACGCGAGCCCCGAUGGCCGCUACCACCCUGGCUUCUACUGCCCGCGGCUGACUGACCCGGCCGGCCACCGCUACUGCUGCCGUGCCAGCCCACACGCCCUCAAGUCCUGCUGCUCUCAGCUGGCCCUGGAGACCAUCACCGGGGUAAACCUCUCCAGCCUGGCCAGUCCAGGCCUUCUCCGGAACCCGCUGGCCCUGCCCUUUGUGGGGCUCUACGGGCUCCUCAUCCUCCUCCUCAUGGCUGUUGACCUCUUCCACUUCUACCGGACCCGCCGCUGCCGCCUCGGCCGCCUCCUGCCCCGCGCCUGCCGCCCGCCUUGCAGACCCCCGGGGAGGCGCCAGCCCCGCUCCCAGCCGCCCUGCGGCCCCCGCGUCCCCGGGGGGCUCUCGCCGCCGCCCCCCGGCCGGGCCUUCUGAGGGGGG